ensembl:lincRNA
GGGGAACCAAAGCCCGAGUUCCCCAGCUGCAGAGGGCUUGGAGACCUGGGGCCUCGGGGAGCGGGCACUUGGCCCCUCACUCCCAGGAGGUGGGAGGUCCCUUCCUUCUGCCCCAGCGGUAGGGGUCGGGGGUUGGGCUGAGGCUGUCCGUGCCUGCCAGCCCUGGACACCCUGAGAGCCUGCCAGGGCUGCCUGCCCAGAGACUGGCAGAGCCUCAGGAAUGAAAAAGCGAUAGGCCGUCCACCCACCACUGAUGCUUGAAUUCCAAGGACCUGCUCCCUGUCUUUGGGGCAGGGGUUGGGGGACUCAAGACAAACCAACUGCAGUUUGCAUCUCUCGCCCUAGAAAUGAGGGCAUCUGCCCCAGACGCUGAGGUCUCGCCCUCCCCCCACGUCCCCUUCCUUUCAUCCCACCCCUCCCCACCUCCCAGACACCAGACAUGGUUGUCUUCCACCUCCAGACGCCAGAUGGCUCCCUCUCUUUGCCUUUACCCCUCCAGACGGUCCGGGCCCCUCCCCUUGCGAGUCCGAGGUUCCAAGCCCCAGCCUCAGCCCGCGCUGACCCGGCCUCCCAGAUGAUUGGCUUAAAUCGGCUUAUGGGAUACGCAGAUCCAGGCAGACGACGAGAUUUCCCGGAGCUAAGUGAGCUGGGUCCUCUCGUGUCCCUGUCUCCGCAGGGGCAGGGUCGCGUGAGGUCGGGCAGGACAGACCAUCUGGAAGUCUCACCGACUGCCUUUCGCCUCUUGGUCCCUGAGAGUGUUUAUUUUCGCACCAUUCUGCCCUCCGUCUUGGUUGUCUUGUCGUGGGCUAGCUCCCUCGGGCUGCAGUGACCAAGUGCCACGAAAGGCUUAAGACAGAGGAGUACGUUAUUUCACAGUCUGGAGGCCAGAUGUCUGCAGGGCCGUGUUCCCCUGAGGUGCCAGGGAGGGGAGUCUCCCAGCCGUCCUCUCAGCCUCCAGCAUUGUAUCUUAUGGGUUGUUGACGCUUCACACCUGGCCAGCUCCUCCCCGCGUGUCUGUGUGUCUCUCAGAACGACGCCAGUCUCUGGCUUAGGGCUCACCCCAUGCCAGCGUGGCCUCAUCUUCCCUAAUUCCACCUGCGGAGAACCUAACUCCCACUAAGGCCCCAUUCGCAGGUACUGGGCUGGUCUUGUUGUUUAGUCGCUCAGUUGUGUCCGACUCUCUGUGACGCCAUGGACUGCAGCACGCCAGGCCUCCCUGUCCAUCACCAUCUCCUGGAGUUUACUCAGACUCAUGUCCAUGGAGUCGGUGACGCCAUCCAGCCAUCUCGUCCUCUGUCGUCCCUUCUCCUCUUGGACAUGACUUUUGGCCCCCGCUGAGCCCACCAAAGAUGGAUUAAGUGUUGGCUCUUCAGCGAGAGGCCAGAUUCUCUCCGCCCCUCAGGUGAGCUCCUGGUCAGGACCGCCCGGGACCCUGUUUCUUCCUGGAGUGAGAGGGGCGGUCAGGACCCUGGAGCUGCGCGCUGUGCCACAGCUCGUUGUUGUCUCUUGUUUGUGGGGCGGAGGCCGCGUCGCAGACGGCGCUCUGCCUGUGUCUGGUGUGUCGCACCAGCUCCUCGUGUGCGUGCACGUGUUUGCAGAUCUUGCUGGAGCCCCGGCAGCUGCUGUCACAGAUGAGAAUCCGUCCUGAGAGCUGGCACCCGAUCUGGCCAUUCCAGCCCCCCCAAAGAAAAGCUGCAGCCCACAGUACUGGGGUCUUUAGUCACAAACAUCUCUUUUGAUUAACUUAGACAGGCUGAUUCCAAGCUUCUUGCUCUUCCGCACUUUCGUCUGCCGCCCUUGGGUCUUGCAUGCCAUCCUUGCAGGACCCGAGGUUAGCCCGUGACUGGGCCUGGGAACAUCUCCAUCACUUGCCCUCUCUGCUCCACGUUCAUCUUCAGGGCCAGCUGUGGCCUCUCGGCCUCCAUGGAGUCUAUCCCCCCGUAUCCGCACCGUGACCUGUGGACCCCAGAGCUCGCCGCAUCCCACCCUCAGCGUUGAGCCGAUGGCCUCUGUGUCACUGCUCACAGCAGCUUUGCCUUCAGGGGUGGUGGUUUGCCUUGCGUCACUGGGGAGCUAUUUGUAUCCUCAACACGUUUGCUAAUUUCCAGAAGAGCCUUCAGGGUGUGAGACUUAUUCAUCUCUGUUUAAGUCCAGCAGCUCCUGCUCAGAAGAUGCUCAAUAAAUAUUUGUCAAUUGAUAGAUGUUUCUUAUUAAUUAGCCAGUUCGACUGGUGGCGUGCUGUGAGAUGCACUCUGGUGGACGCUGCUUAAAAAGUAUCCCAAGAAGGCAAAGAGAGCAAAGAGCAACAGCGGAAAUCUCCACGUCAGGUCAGAGUCUGGGUACUUCCUCCGCCUACAGAGGACCCUGGGGGC